rnacentral:rRNA from 1 species
AUACGUAGGGUGCGAGCGUUGUCCGGAAUUACUGGGCGUAAAGAGCUCGUAGGUGGUUUGUCGCGUCGUCUGUGAAAUUCCGGGGCUUAACUCCGGGCGUGCAGGCGAUACGGGCAUAACUUGAGUACUGUAGGGGAGACUGGAAUUCCUGGUGUAGCGGUGAAAUGCGCAGAUAUCAGGAGGAACACCGGUGGCGAAGGCGGGUCUCUGGUCAGUAAAUGACGAUGAGGAGCGAAAGCAUGGGUAGCGAACAGGAUUAGAUACCCUGGUAGUCCAGGCCGUAAACGGUGGGCGCUAGGUGUAGGGGUCUUCCACGACUUCUGUGCCGUAGCUAACGCAUUAAGCGCCCCGCCUGGGGAGUACGGCCGCAAGGCUAAAACUCAAAGGAAUUGACGGGG